rnacentral:rRNA from 1 species
CAGUAGCCGCGGGAAUACGUAGGGUGCAAGCGUUGUCCGGAAUUAUUGGGCGUAAAGAGCUCGUAGGCGGUUUGUCGCGUCUGCUGUGAAAACGCGAGGCUCAACCUCGCGCCUGCAGUGGGUACGGGCAGACUAGAGUGUGGUAGGGGAGAUUGGAAUUCCUGGUGUAGCGGUGGAAUGCGCAGAUAUCAGGAGGAACACCGAUGGCGAAGGCAGAUCUCUGGGCCAUUACUGACGCUGAGGAGCGAAAGCGUGGGGAGCGAACAGGAUUAGAUACCCCAGUAGUCCCUGUCUCUUAUAC